CAGAAGCACCAUGCUGCUCUAGAGGGACAGACAAACCAGAAGUGAGACACCAGAGAUACCAAGUGCUAUCUUUGAAAAAUGGACUUUUAAAAAACAUCCCCAUCCAGAAGUGCAUGAACACAGAUGAAGAAGAGGCAUCAGCCUGUGUAACAUCUCAGAUGGCUGUGGAAGGUGACAGAAAGAAGCAAGACUUGACUUAAACAGUGAGAAGACAUUACAUGACUAAAAUGAAGUAGCUCAAAGAAAAAUUCACCAAUGCCCCAAAUCCACCAAAAAUGCCCCAAAGAAAGGGCAAGCUGACUUGGAAAACCAGGAGCCAUCUCUACUCCUACCAGCUGGAGCUUCUCCCACUUCUACAGCCAUUAAAGUUAUGAAAUGUUUGGAUGUUUUACUAAUUCUAUUAAGAAGCAGAAAGGCUGUUCCCACCAUGACCAGAAAAUGAAACAGCAGCAAUCACACGGGAAAACGCUCAACUUCCCAGACUCAGCGGUUUUAUUAGUGCAAAUACCCUCCAGACAGACAGCCACACAUUUUCCUGCUUCCUUACACUGAACCCUAAUUCAGCCUGGGGUGGCUAAGCUGGUGCUACUAACCUUCUUCUCCAGCUCAUUUCACCUGCCGGAAGGAGUGGCCUGCUGAUGAGGAUUUUGACCAAGGAUUCUAACACAUUUGUUGUUUAUUUUGUCUCUCUUUCUUUUGUGGAUUGCCUGAGUAACUUUGGGCAAGUUGUUGGUGUCCCAGCUCCCCAGCUAUGAAAUGGAAAUAGUAUGCUGAAAAACUGCAUCAAGAAAGUUAAUUUUGAUGAACCUGGUAUAUGCUGCUAAUAAAAAUUUUGGAAACACCAUUUCCCAGGUUCCA